UCCAGACUCCUACGGGAGGCAGCAGUGGGGGAUAUUGCACAAUGGGGGGAACCCUGAUGCAGCGACGCCGCGUGGGUGAAGGAGCGUUUCGGCGCGUAAAGCCCUCUCGGCAGGGAAGAAGGAGGACGGUACCUGACUAAGAAGCCCCGGCUAACUACGUGCCAGCAGCCGCGGUAAUACGUAGGGGGCAAGCGUUAUCCGGAUUUACUGGGUGUAAAGGGGGCGCAGACGGCAGCGCAAGCCAGGAGUGAAAGCCCGGGGCCCAACCCCGGGACUGCUCUUGGAACUGCGCGGCUGGAGUGCAGGAGGGGCAGGCGGAAUUCCUGGUGUAGCGGUGAAAUGCGUAGAUAUCAGGAGGAACACCGGUGGCGAAGGCGGCCUGCUGGACUGUAACUGACGUUGAGGCUCGAAAGCGUGGGGAGCAAACAGGAUUAGAUACCCCGGUAAAC
rnacentral:rRNA from 1 species